rnacentral:rRNA from 1 species
AACGUACGCUGGCGGCACGCCUAACACAUGCAAGUCGAACGAAGUAGCAAUACUUAGUGGCAGACGGGUGAGUAACAUGUAGGUAUCUACCCUAUGGUUUGGAAUAACACGAGGAAACUUGUGCUAAUACCAAAUAAGUCUUUACGGAGAAAGCUUUAUGCGCCAUUGGAUGAGCCUGCACUUGAUUAGUUUGUUGGUGGGGUAAUGGCCUACCAAGACAAUGAUCAAUAGCUGAUUUGAGAGGAUGAUCAGCCACAUUGGGACUGAGACACGGCCCAAACUCCUACGGGAGGCAGCAGUGGGGAAUCUUGCACAAUGGGGGAAACCCUGAUGCAGCGAUGCCGCGUGAGUGAAGAAGGCCUUUGGGUUGUAAAGCUCUUUCGUCGGGGAAGAAAAUGACUGUACCCGAAUAAGAAGGUCCGGCUAACUUCGUGCCAGCAGCCGCGGUAAUACGAAGGGACCUAGCGUAGUUCGGAAUUACUGGGCUUAAAGAGUUCGUAGGUGGUUAAAAAAGUUGGUGGUGAAAUCCCAGAGCUUAACUCUGGAACUGCCAUCAAAACUUUUCAGCUAGAGUAUGAUAGAGGAAAGCAGAAUUUCUAGUGUAGAGGUGAAAUUCGUAGGUAUUAGAAAGAAUACCAAUUGCGAAGGCAGCUUUCUGGAUCAUUACUGACACUGAGGAACGAAAGCAUGGGUAGCGAAGAGGAUUAGAUACCCUCGUAGUCCAUGCCGUAAACGAUGUGUGUUAGACGUUGGAAAUUUAUUUUCAGUGUCGCAGCGAAAGCGAUAAACACACCGCCUGGGGAGUACGACCGCAAGGUUA